CUUAAGGGUCUGGCUAGGUGCUUGGUACAGUAAACAAUAAAUGAUCCUUCCCUGCAGGGCCCGGAAGCCUAGACCAAAAGCUGGGUAAUGUGAUCCGAGCUACGGUAGCCAUGUGCAGACUCUGAGGACAAACUGUACCCCCAGCUUUGCUUGGACUUCCCUUGCCUUCUGGCUGGUACACACCAGGUCACCGCAACCCAGAGGGGCCCGCAGCCCGCAGCACAGUAUGUACUUCGAUCUCCUCUCCCCUCUCUGCAGAGCCUGCAACACGAGCAUCCCUGACUACGUUCAGAGUGCUGAGGACUACAAGACUCUCCCCGUGGUGGUCCAAGCCGUUGGGAUCAUCUCAGAGGAGAAUUUCUUUUGCAUUUAUAAGCAAAUCUCCUUGGUGAGCCGGAUCAUCCCCUGCGGCUCCCAGUGGGCACUCUGUAUCUACUAUAGGCACCACUAUGUGCCCGAGAAUGGGUGGAGCGAACUCCAGACCAACCGCAAGGUCGUGGGCCUUGUCACCAUUGCGGACUGCCUCUUGGCAAAGGCCUUCGAUAAGCUCCACAUGCAGAGGAGCUGUAUGGCACCACGCUUAAUGACUCUCAGCUCUUUGUCUUUGUGCUGCAUGGGGAGGUAGCCGAGCAGACACGCACCGACGUAGCGUUCAAUCUACAAGGACUGCAGUGUGGUGAAGAGGAUCGAGGGCUUCACUGAGUCACUCUUCAUCUCGCUCAAGUCUAAGUGGCUAGAUGGGGCCCCCGACAACUCUGGGGACAAGAUCCCGCUCCUCUGCAUCCUCUUUGAGAAGGAGGACUUCAUGGGACUGGACACAGACUGAAGGGUCCUGUGAUCUACAUGUCCGCACUCACCUUCUGCUCCUUGGAGAUGAGGUGGCAGGUUUAGGAGCCUGGGCACUGCUGAAGGCACAGCUGCCAGCACCGGGCUUCUCCCAGACUGGCUCCGUUCACCUCACCUGUCACCUCCUGCUGAGCCCCCAGGCAUUAGUCCAGGUGGCCCCCAAGAGGUCGUGGUCUCAAAGGAGCAGGCAAACACCCAGUUGGUCUCCAUGCAGUGCUGAUGUAGAGGGAGCCCAGUCAAGACCUAAAGGACAUUAUCAGAGAGGACUUCCUGGAAGAAAUGGGCUCUAUAUUCAGUUGUGAGGACAUAGCAGGGAUGCUGCAGUACUCACUGAUACAUCACCGUUAUGUCCUGGAGCUGCUCCGGUCAGUGAAUGAUUUUCUGUGGCUUGGAGGUAAGGUGGUCUGAUGCAGAUGAUCAGAUGUGUAGUUAAAGUGCUAUUACUUGAAAUAAGAGAAACCAAGAAACAUGGCUCUAACAAUACAGGAUGAGGGAGGAGAACUGGCUGAUCUACUUGCAGUGGGGCGUCUUCUCAGGUGAUUCCCUCCCCGUGAUUCCUGCCAAUAUCCUCCCCA